GAGCGAAACCGACCUGGUACGCCGGGGCGGUCUGCCGGAUGUGGUGAUCCGGUACUGAUGAGCAGCCACUU
rnacentral:hammerhead_ribozyme from 1 species